CUAGUACUCCCUCGGUCUGGAUAAACUUGUCCCUUAAAUAGAUAUAUCUAGCAUCAAAUUAGUACUAGAUACAUCCAUUUAAGAGUUAAGCUUGGGACAAGUUUUUUCGGACGGAGGGAGUAAUAC
rfam:Triticum urartu cultivar G1812 contig836260, whole genome shotgun sequence.